AUUUGAGAGUUUGAUCCUGGCUCAGGACGAACGCUGGCGGCGUGCCUAAUACAUGCAAGUUGAGCGAUGAAGAUUGGUGCUUGCACCAAUUUGAAGAGCAGCGAACGGGUGAGUAACGCGUGGGGAAUCUGCCUUUGAGCGGGGGACAACAUUUGGAAACGAAUGCUAAUACCGCAUAAUAACUUUAAACAUAAGUUUUAAGUUUGAAAGAUGCAAUUGCAUCACUCAAAGAUGAUCCCGCGUUGUAUUAGCUAGUUGGUGAGGUAAAGGCUCACCAAGGCGAUGAUACAUAGCCGACCUGAGAGGGUGAUCGGCCACAUUGGGACUGAGACACGGCCCAAACUCCUACGGGAGGCAGCAGUAGGGAAUCUUCGGCAAUGGACGAAAGUCUGACCGAGCAACGCCGCGUGAGUGAAGAAGGUUUUCGGAUCGUAAAACUCUGUUGGUAGAGAAGAACGUUGGUGAGAGUGGAAAGCUCAUCAAGUGACGGUAACUACCCAGAAAGGGACGGCUAACUACGUGCCAGCAGCCGCGGUAAUACGUAGGUCCCGAGCGUUGUCCGGAUUUAUUGGGCGUAAAGCGAGCGCAGGUGGUUUAUUAAGUCUGGUGUAAAAGGCAGUGGCUCAACCAUUGUAUGCAUUGGAAACUGGUAGACUUGAGUGCAGGAGAGGAGAGUGGAAUUCCAUGUGUAGCGGUGAAAUGCGUAGAUAUAUGGAG
rnacentral:rRNA from 1 species